CGUGAAACCCUGUCUGAAUAUGGGGGGACCAUCCUCCAAGGCUAAAUACUCGUAAUCGACCGAUAGCGAACAAGUACCGUGAGGGAAAGGCGAAAAGAACCCCGGGAGGGGAGUGAAAUAGAUCCUGAAACCGUAUGCAUACAAAAAGUCGGAGCCCGAAAGGGUGACGGCGUACCUUUUGUAUAAUGGGUCAGCGACUUACAUUCAGUGGCAAGCUUAACCGAUAGGGAAGGCGUAGGGAAACCGAGUCCGAAUAGGGCGUUCAGUCGCUGGGUGUAGACCCGAAACCAGGUGAUCUAUCCAUGGCCAGGAUGAAGGUGCGGUAACACGCACUGGAGGUCCGAACCGACUAGUGUUGCAAAACUAGCGGAUGAGCUGUGGAUAGGGGUGAAAGGCUAACAAACCUGGAGAUAGCUGGUUCUCUCCGAAAACUAUUUAGGUAGUGCCUCAAGUAUUACCAUCGGGGGUAGAGCACUGUUAUGGCUAGGGGGUCAGU
rnacentral:rRNA from 1 species